CCUGACGGAGCAAGACCGCGUGGGGGAAGAAGGCUCUUGGGUUGUAAACCCCUUUUCUCUGGGAAGAACACAAUGACGGUACCAGAGGAAUCAGCAUCGGCUAACUCCGUGCCAGCAGCCGCGGUAAGACGGAGGAUGCAAGCGUUAUCCGGAAUGAUUGGGCGUAAAGCGUCCGUAGGUGGCAGUUCAAGUCUGCUGUCAAAGACCGGGGCUCAACCUCGGAAAGGCAGUGGAAACUGAGCAGCUAGAGUAUGGUAGGGGCAAAGGGAAUUCCUGGUGUAGCGGUGAAAUGCGUAAAGAUCAGGAAGAACAUCAGUGGCGAAGGCGCUUUGCUGGACCAUAACUGACACUGAGGGACGAAAGCUAGGGGAGCGAAGGGGAUUAGAU
rnacentral:rRNA from 1 species